rnacentral:misc_RNA from 1 species
GAUGAAGAACGUAGCGAAAUGCGAUAAGUAAUGUGAAUUGCAGAAUUCAGUGAAUCAUCGAAUCUUUGAACGCACCUUGCACCCUUUGGCAUUCCGAAGGGUAUGCUCGUUUGAGUGUCAUUGUACUCUCACACUCUCCGAUCCUAUGGAUUCGGGGAGCGGUGGACUUGGGUGUUGCUGCCUUUCCUUGUGGCUCACCUCAAAUGUGUCAGUGCACCUCUUGGUUGGACAUAGUACGGCGUGAUAACUGUCUUCGCCGGCACCUCGCAAGAGGGUGGCCGAUCGGGAGCUCUGUGCUUUCAAACCGUCUUCGGACAAUUUCUGACAACUUGACCUCAAAUCGAGUAGGACUACCCGCUGAACUUAAGCAUAUCAAUAAGCGGAGGA